UUACUAAACCGAUAUUGACGCUCAGGCACGAAAGCGUGGGGAGCGAACAGGAUUAGAUACCCUGGUAGUCCACGCCGUAAACUAUGAUCACUCGUUGUUGGCAAUACACAGUCAAGUGACCAAGCGAAAGCGAUAAGUGAUCCACCUGGGGAGUACGAUCGCAAGGUUGAAACUCAAAGGAAUUGACGGGGGCCCGCACAAGCGGUGGAGCAUGUGGUUUAAUUCGAUGAUACGCGAGGAACCUUACCUGGGCUCAAAUGUAAGUUGACAGUUUCUGAAAGGGAAUUUUCUUCGGACAAUUUACAAGGUGCUGCAUGGUUGUCGUCAGCUCGUGCCGUGAGGUGUCGGGUUAAGUCCCAUAACGAGCGCAACCCCUACUCUUAGUUGCCAUCAGAUAAUGCUGGGGACUCUAGGAGAACUGCCUACGCAAGUAGAGAGGAAGGUGGGGAUGACGUCAAAUCAGCACGGCCCUUACGUCCAGGGCUACACACGUGCUACAAUGGCCGGUACAGAGGGCAGCCACCUGGUGACAGGGAGCGAAUCUCUAAAGCCGGUCUCAGUUCGGAUCGAAGUCUGCAACCCGACUUCGUGAAGCUGGAAUCGCUAGUAAUCGCGCAUCAGCCAUGGCGCGGUGAAUACGUUCCCGGGCCUUGUACACACCGCCCGUCAAGCCAUGGAAGCUGGGGGUACCUGAAGUCGGUGACCAUUUAGGAGCCGCCUAGGGUAAAACUAGUGACUGGGGCUAAGUCGUAACAAGGUA
rnacentral:rRNA from 1 species